rnacentral:rRNA from 1 species
UACGUAGGGGGCAAGCGUUGUCCGGAAUUAUUGGGCGUAAAGAGCGUGUAGGCGGCCAGAUAAGUCCGCUGUGAAAUCUCGAGGCUCAACUUCGAGCUGUCGGUGGAAACUGUCUGGCUAGAGUCCGGAAGAGGAGAAUGGAAUUCCUGGUGUAGCGGUGAAAUGCGCAGAUAUCAGGAAGAACACCCGUGGCGAAGGCGGUUCUCUGGGACGGUACUGACGCUGGAGGAGCGAAAGCCGUGGGGAGCGAACAGGA